GAGUUAAUUAGGAAUUAUAAGUGUUGUAUGAAUUUUUCUAGAAUAUUUGGGAUUUGUUUGGAAUUUUUGGAAUUUCGGGAAAUUGAUUUUGAUUGAUAAUUAAUUGUUUUGAAAUGUUAAAAAAUUAUUAGAUGGGUUGGAAAAUUCCAAAAUUUGGGUUAAAUUGCAAAUAUAAUGAUUUGUGAAUUUUUAGGCAUUGGUUAGAAUAUUUUCGAAAAUUUUAGGGUAAAUAGUUAGUUAAUUUUGGAUAUUAGAAAUUAUUAUAAUGGUUGAAAAAUUUUGUAAGUGUGGUAAAAUCUCAAGAUUUUGAUAUGCAUUGUUUUUUUGAAUAUUUAUUUGGGAUAUUAUCGAAAAUUGUAAUGUGUGAAAUUAUUUUAUUGGAUUAUUGGGAAAUGUUGAGAUUGUUGAAUUAUUGAGGAACAUUGGAAUUGUGGCAUUCAUUUGCAUCAUGGUUAUGUGAAAAUAAAUAAAUAAAUAAAUGAAUGAAAUAGAGAUGAGAAGUGGAAGCCCGUGUGGGGCGAAUUAAGAAGGGAGAGAGAUCCCUAGGGUGAAAGACCCAAAAGUUACCUCGGGAAGACUCCGAAUGGGGAGUGUAUUUGGGUGCGGACGCGUAUCCUUCGGUGAAAGCCCGAGAACAAUAGUGCAUUGUAUGACUGUGUGUCACACGUUCAUGUGCAUUCAUGUAAUUGUUGAAUAUUGUGAAAUUGUGUAUAAUAUCAUAUAUUAAACUAUGUGAUUGAUUGAUAUUGUUGAAUUGUUCCUUUUGUGUUGAAGUGUCAUUUCCGUAUUCUUUGAAACUUAGUAAUCCCCUUAACCCCUUGGGUGCUAGGCACCCUACUGAGCAAUGUGGAAAUGCUCACCCCUUCCUUGUUACACCUUUUUAGAUACAGUUAUUGAGGAUUUUGAAUUAUGUCUUGGUUUGGAAGGGCAUGGUCCAUGUUUGUACAGUAUAUCAGCUAGACCAAUGGUUAUCCAGAGAAUAGUGGAGGCCCAAGUUCAUGAUGAGUUUUUAGAAAAGGUUAAAGCCCAGUUGGUAGCAGGUGAAAUAGAUGAAAAUUGGUCUAUGUAUGAAGAUGGGAGUGUGAGGUUCAAAGGGAGAUUGUGUGUGCCAAAAGAUAUGGAGUUGAGAAAUGAACUUCUAGCAGAUGCUCAUAGGGCGAAGUAUACCAUCCACUCUGGGAAUACCAAGAUGUAUCAAGACUUAAAGAGACAGUUUUGGUGGAGUGGGAUGAAGAGAGAUAUUGCUCAGUUUGUAGCUAAUUGUCAGAUUUGUCAGCAAGUGAAGGCUGAACACCAGAGGCCUGCAGGGUUGUUGCAACCUUUACUUAUACAUGAGUGGAAGUGGGAUAAUAUCACUAUGGACUUUGUGAUAGGGUUGCCAAGAACUAGAAGCAAGAAAAAUGGAGUUUGGGUGAUUGUGGACCGUCUUACUAAGUCAGCUCAUUUUCUAGCCAUGAAAACUACUGAUUCCAUGAACUCUUUGGCUAAGUUGUAUAUACAGGAGAUUGUGAGAUUGCAUGGGAUACCUGUGUCUAUAGUGUCUGACAGGGACCCUAAGUUUACUUCUCAGUUUUGGCAGAGUUUACAAAGGGCUUUGGGCACCCAACUGAAUUUUAGCACCGCUUUUCACCCUCAGACAGAUGGUCAAUCAGAGAGAGUGAUCCAGAUCUUAGAAGACAUGUUAAGGGCUUGUGUUUUGGAUUUUGGAGGAAAUUGGGCAGAUUACUUACCUUUGGCAGAGUUUGCUUAUAACAACAGUUACCAAUCUAGUAUUGGCAUGGAACCUUAUGAAGCACUCUAUGGGAGACCUUGUAGAUCGCCCUUAUGUUGGAUAGAGAUGGGUGAGAGUCAUUUGUUGGGACCUGAGAUUGUCCAAGAGACUACAGAGAAGAUACAACUCAUCAAGGAAAAACUUAAGACUGCCCAAGAUAGACAGAAAAGUUAUGCAGACAAAAGGAGAAGGCCCUUGGAGUUUGAGGAAGGGGAUUGGGUGUUUGUAAAAGUGUCCCCUCGAAGAGGCAUAUUUCGAUUUGGGAAGAAGGGGAAGUUAACCCCUAGGUUUGUGGGACCAUUUCAGAUUGAUAAGAGAGUUGGCCCAGUGGCAUACAAGUUAAUUUUGCCUCAACAGUUGUCCCUUGUGCAUGAUGUUUUCCAUGUGUCAAUGCUAAGGAAGUGUACUCCAGAUCCAACUUGGGUAGUGGACAUGCAAGAUGUUCAGAUUAGUGAAGAUACAUCUUAUGUGGAGGAACCUUUACGAAUUCUGGAAGUUGGAGAGCAUAGGUUCAGGAACAAGGUGAUUCCUGCAGUCAAAGUGUGGUGGCAACACCAUGGGAUAGAAGAAGCCACUUGGGAACCUGAGGAAGAAAUGAGACGACACUAUCUGCAACUCUUCUACGAAUUUUAAGGUAAGCUAGUUUAAAUUUCGGGACGAAAUUUCUUUUAGGGGGGUAGGAUGUAAUGACCGGGUAUUUUAUGCCAUGUUAGCAAUUUUAGUUUGAAAAGUCUUAUUUUAUGUGGUGGUUGAAAAGUCAAAAAGAAAAGCGUUUGGAGAACACGUGUCAAUUUCGGAUUGGCGAAUUUCGUUUUAUUGUGUCGGUCAAUUAAACGAGUUGAAAAUUUUAUGCCAUGUCAGCCUUAGGGUGGAAAUUUCUUAGGAUUUGAGUAAUUGGGAAUUUCCGGGAAAGAAAAACGAAAACAAAAAUGAAAAGUUAAUUAAUUAAAAUUAAUUAGAAUUAAAAUAAUAAUAAAAAAAAUAAAUAAAUUAAAUUAAAUUGAGGAAUAAUAAAAUUGAGAAAAAAAUAUUAAAUUGUGUGUUUUAUAAAAAAAAAAGAAAAAGAAAUGAAAAUGGAGUAAUUUGGGCUUGGAUGAAAUAGGGUUUUAAAAGAAAAAUAGUAGUUAGUUAUUGGGUUUAUUUUGAACUUGGGUUGGGCUUGAGUGGGCUGAUUAAAAGGAAGAGAGAUGGGCUUGAGUGGGCUGAUUAAAAGGAAAAGAAGUGGGCUGUUUAAGAGGAAACGAAAUGGGCUUGAGUGGGCUGUUUGGUAAGUGGAUUAAAAUAAAAAGAAAUGGGCUUAAGUGGAGAAGAGGGAACAGUAGUAGAUCUGGAAGAAAGGGGGCGGCGGCAUUGUAGCAAAUCUCACCUCGCCGGAGCUUUGACCGGCCGUUUGGGUGGUCAAACGACCUCCGUUUCGGCUCAGAUUUGGAGGGGGUGUUCUACUCGACGAGGGGAAUAAUCCUACGGUGGCCAAUCGUAUUGUUAGCGACUAACUUCUUAGAUCUGUGGUAGGGGACCCUAACCCUAAAACUUAAAUUUUUAUGUUUUUCCCUUGAAAAGAAAAAUUAUAGAUAUUGUCAUUUUGAGUUAAUUAGGAAUUAUAAGUGUUGUAUGAAUUUUUCUAGAAUAUUUGGGAUUUGUUUGGAAUUUUUGGAAUUUCGGGAAAUUGAUUUUGAUUGAUAAUUAAUUGUUUUGAAAUGUUAAAAAAUUAUUAGAUGGGUUGGAAAAUUCCAAAAUUUGGGUUAGAUUGCAAAUAUAAUGAUUUGUGAAUUUUUAGGCAUUGGUUAGAAUAUUUUCGAAAAUUUUAGGGUAAAUAGUUAGUUAAUUUUGGAUAUUAGAAAUUAUUAUAAUGGUUGAAAAAUUUUGUAAGUGUGGUAAAAUCUCAAGAUUUUGAUAUGCAUUGUUUUUUUGAAUAUUUAUUUGGGAUAUUAUCGAAAAUUGUAAUGUGUGAAAUUAUUUUAUUGGAUUAUUGGGAAAUGUUGAGAUUGUUGAAUUAUUGAGGAACAUUGGAAUUGUGGCAUUCAUUUGCAUCGGUUAUGUGAAAAUAAAUAAAUAAAUAAAUGAAUGAAAUAGAGAUGAGAAGUGGAAGCCCGUGUGGGGCGAAUUAAGAAGGGAGAGAGAUCCCUAGGGUGAAAGACCCAAAAGUUACCUCGGGAAGACUCCGAAUGGGGAGUGUAUUUGGGUGCGGACGCGUAUCCUUCGGUGAAAGCCCGAGAACAAUAGUGCAUUGUAUGACUGUGUGUCACACGUUCAUGUGCAUUCAUGUAAUUGUUGAAUAUUGUGAAAUUGUGUAUAAUAUCAUAUAUUAAACUAUGUGAUUGAUUGAUAUUGUUGAAUUGUUCCUUUUGUGUUGAAGUGUCCUUUCCGUAUUCUUUGAAACUUAGUAAUCCCCUUAACCCCUUGGGUGCUAGGCACCCUACUGAGCAAUGUGGAAAUGC
rnacentral:lncRNA from 1 species